GACUCAGGCUGGAGAGGAGGCAUCUUACAGCUUUGUGGACAGCCUGAGCUGGUGGAGCCUGCUCUAGCUUGUGGAGACGUUCAGUGUCUUCAGGACUUUGCCUUUUCCUAAUGUGGACUUUUCUGGAUAUGUCAUCAGGACUGUGAAUUUAUGCAGAUGUUUCACCGUGCCCCUGGAGGUUCAGAAAUAACAGUGCCUGACACUGUGAGAGAGGUGCUGAAAGGCACCCUUUGCUCUGCACCCUUUCUGCCACCUGAGAAGCUCUGGGUCACAGAAGUCUGCCCUUACUGAUAGCUGUCCACCACGUUCAUUCACUUCUGUUUUGUACGUCUGUAACACCACUGCUCGUGUCUUGUCAGAAUCCUAUAUUCUGGCUUUACUGGGACCCAAGAUCUCGGCAAGCGCCAUGCAAUAUAGAAGCAGUGCAGCACAGAGAUUUGCCUCCUGAUGGAUUGGCUCCACGCUUGAGAAAAUGGACUCUGUAAGCAAGCACCCAUGGGCUAAACUAAUUUGGGUUCUCCCUGGUGCUACACAAUUCCAGGUUUUGCACCAUGGCAUGCCUUCUUUCUGCACAGGGAGGCUGAGGUAUAACAGGAAACAACUACUCAAAAACCUGAAUCUUUUUCCCCCCUGAAGUCUUUUGUUCCUGAAGCCAAAUCACAGUAAAUCAAGGGGUUCUGCCUUAUAUGCAAUUAAAGUGGUCUUAAAAAAACAACAACAACAAAAAAAAAACUACCGAAUCCCCAAGUCCCAGAAAGGAAGAGGAGGAGGAAAAGAUGGGACCUCAGAGAGGCUUCAUAAAUCACGUUGCAGUGGACCUGGUGCAGAUGUUCCUGCAUUCAGCCCACCAGGCAAAGCGCAGCACCAUAAUGGGACUGAACGGCCAUAUGUGAAAGCAGACAGAAGACAGCUGACUUGGAGGAGACGUGCUCUCUCUGGCACAUAUAACCCAUGCUUGGUCCCUGCCCUGGCCUCCCUCGGUCCCUCCUGCCAAAAAAUAAACAAGCCAGAUCAAACCUGUCAUGGUCUGGAAGUCUUCAGCUAUCCCUUUUAU